rnacentral:lncRNA from 1 species
ACAGCUGAUCCGGUUCUUGCGGCGGUGCGUGCUGGCGCCGGAGAGUUCCGCGCGUGUCCUCGGGCUGUCCGCGGGGAAGCUGGUCCGGGAGUGGGCGCCCGCCCGCCUGCCUCGCGCCUUGCGCCCCCGGCACCGCUUCCAGAAGGGAAAGUCGCCGCCGCUCGCGGUAGACCCGGGCAGCGCUUCCAUUCCGCGGAGCUGAAAAUCUGAAUCUAAUAAAAAUGUGAACAUCUGCUACAAGGAAUAUCCACUGCAAUCGUUUUACUC